UGGAAAGACUUUCAGAUGUAUUUGUAAAGC
rnacentral:piRNA from 1 species